rnacentral:rRNA from 1 species
CAUUACUGAGUUUACGCUCUACAACCCUUUGUGAACAUACCUACAACUGUUGCUUCGGCGGGUAGGGUCUCCGCGACCCUCCCGGCCUCCCGCCUCCGGGCGGGUCGGCGCCCGCCGGAGGAUAACCAAACUCUGAUUUAACGACGUUUCUUCUGAGUGGUACAAGCAAAUAAUCAAAACUUUUAACAACGGAUCUCUUGGUUCUGGCAUCGAUGAAGAACGCAGCGAAAUGCGAUAAGUAAUGUGAAUUGCAGAAUUCAGUGAAUCAUCGAAUCUUUGAACGCACAUUGCGCCCGCCAGCAUUCUGGCGGGCAUGCCUGUUCGAGCGUCAUUUCAACCCUCAAGCUCUGCUUGGUGUUGGGGCCCUACAGCCGAUGUAGGCCCUCAAAGGUAGUGGCGGACCCUCCCGGAGCCUCCUUUGCGUAGUAACUUUACGUCUCGCACUGGGAUCCGGAGGGACUCUUGCCGUAAAACCCCCCAAUUUUCCAAAGGUUGACCUCGGAUCAGGUAGGAAUACCCGCUGAACUUAAGCAUAUCAA